UCUUACCGGGACCGACAGCAAUAUGAAGGCCAGGCUGAAGACUUUGCCGGAUUAGCUGAGAGGUGGUGCAUGGCCGUCGUCAGUUCGUACUGUGAAGCAUCCUGUUAAGUCAGGCAACGAGCGAGACCCACGCCCACAGUUGCCAGCGUACUCUCUGGAGUGACGGGUACACUGUGGGGACCGCCGCUGCUAAAGCGGAGGAAGGAAUGGGCAACGGUAGGUCAGUAUGCCCCGAAUAUCCCGGGCUACACGCGAGCUACAAUGGUUGGUACAAUGGGUAUCUACCCCGAAAGGGGACGGGAAUCUCCUAAAACCAAUCUUAGUUCGGAUUGAGGGCUGCAACUCGCCCUCAUGAAGCUGGAAUCCGUAGUAAUCGCGUUUCAAAAUAGCGCGGUGAAUAUGUCCCUGCUCCUU
rnacentral:rRNA from 1 species